rnacentral:rRNA from 1 species
GACGAACGCUGGCGGCGUGCUUAACACAUGCAAGUCGAACGCUGAAGACCUGGCUUUUGUUGGGUGUGAUGAGUGGCGAACGGGUGAGUAACACGUGAGUAACCUGCCCUCUUCUUUGGGAUAACGCCCGGAAACGGGUGCUAAUACUGGAUAUUCACUGAUCUCUGCAUGGGGGUUGGUGGAAGGGUUUGUUCUGGUGGGUGAUGGGCUGGCGGCCUGUCAGCUUGUUGGUGGGGUGAUGGCCUACCAAGGCUUUGACGGGUAGCCGGCCUGAGAGGGUGACCGGUCACAGUGGGACUGAGAGACGGCCCAGACUCGUACGGGAGGCAGGAGUGGGGAAGAUUGCACAAUGGGCGAAAGCCUGAUGCAGCGACGCUGAGGGAGGGAUGGAGGCCUUCGGGUUGUAAACCUCUUUCGCUCAUGGUCAAGCCGCAACUGUGGGUUGUGGUGAGGGUAGUGGGUAAAGAAGCGCCGGCUAACUACGUG